CUCAAACUAUGAGGAAAAAUAAAAACGUUCUUUUUUUUCCUCCUUGUUUGUUAAUUUCUUGUGGUCAUGUUAUAUAAGCACUGAUUUCAAAUACUCAUUGACAUAAAAGCAAAAAACGCUUCUAUACAUUUUAAUCACUCCUUUUAUGGAGUAAUAUAUUGGCCGAGCCAUUGCUUUGAGUAGAUGGCAAUAGCAUUAAGCAGGAUAUAAUGAUUUUGGCAAGACAAAAACAAUUGGUCUGGAACUGCAGCAUGCUCUAAAGCUGAUUUUAGUGGAUCUAAGGGACAUUUUAC